CAGAACUUUACAUUCUCAGUGGCAAAGUGAGCACUGACACUUACCCUCCUCCCCACCUAGUUUGAUCUUGUCAUGUACACAGCACGUAUUUCCUUCUCAAGCCCAGUUUCUCAUAGAGCACAGACCUUGACACCCCUCAGCUGCACAGAUGAAUAAUCAAACAGUAACUUACUCAGAACUGAAUCUGGCCAAGAAGCCAAAAAGGAAGAAAAUCAAACCUAAGGACGCUGAUAGCUCCUUUUGAAUCACUGAGAGGGAAAUAACUUGUGUGGAAUUAAACCUUCACAGUGCUUCUCAAGAUCUUCAAAAGAAGGACAAGACUUUCCACUGCAAAGGGAAGCUCAUUGCUGGGACCCUGGGACUCAUCUGCCUUGUCUUGACGGCCGGUGUAAUAACCAUGACAGUCACAAGUCAUAACUAAAUAUUCAUCUCUCUAAUAAUCACUACAAUCUUUCUAGCUAUUGGAAUGAUGGAUGAGAACAGAACUCAGAAAGGUAUGUCAUAAUUUUAAAAGUUCUUAUAUAAACCAAAACCAAACAGAUUGCCAGCGAGUCAAUUCCGACUCCUAGAGACCCUAUAGGACAGUUUAGACCUGCCCCCAU